rnacentral:rRNA from 1 species
GGGGGUGUGAGAGCACGGCCCCCCAUAAUGGGACUGAAACACUGACCAUACUCCUACGGGAGGCAUCAGCAGGGACUAUUGCACAAUAGGCAGAAAGCCUGAUUCAGCGACUCCGCGUGAGUGAAGAAGGCCUUCGGGUCGUAAAGCUCUUUUGUAGGGGAAGAGGAAGGACGGUACCCUAAGAAGAAGCGUCGGCUAACUACGUGCCAGCAGCCGCGGCUAAGACGUAGGACGCGAGCGUUAUCCGGAAUUACUGGGCGUAAAGGGCCAGUCAUCGCGCGCUUGGUAAAUUGCGCGUGAAAGCCUCGUGCUCAACGCGAGGAACCCGGACAAUACUGUCAAGCUAGAGGGCAUCAGAGGGGAGUGGAAUUCCCGGAGUAGCGGUAAAAUGCGCAGAUAUCGGGAGGAACACCGAUGGCGAAGGCAGCUCCCUGGGAUGCACCUGACGCUAAGAGCGCGAAAGCUAGGGGAGCGAACAGGAUUAGAGACCCUGGUAGUCCUAGCUGUAAACGCUGGGUGCUAGCUGUGGGACGUAGAAGUUCCGUGCCGGAGCAAACGCGAUAAGCACCCCGCCUGGGAAUUACGGUCGCAAGGCUAAAACUCAAACGAAUUGACGGGGCCCCGCACAAGCAGCGGAGCGUGUGGUUCAAUUCGAUGCUACUCGAAGAACCUUACCUGGGUUUGACAUGUACGUGGUACGAAGGCGAAAGCAUAAGGACCCUUCGGGGAGCGUACACAGGUGCUGCAUGGCUGUCGUCAGCUCGUGCCGUGAGGCUGAUCGGGUUAAGUCCCGUUACGAGCGCAACCAUUGCCCUUAGUUACAAGCGUCUAAGGGGACAUGCCGGCGGGAAGCCGGAGGAAGAUGGGGAUGACGUCAAGUUCAGCAUGGCCCUUAUGUCCAGGGCUACACACACGCUACAAUGGUCAGUACAAAGGGUAGCGAAGUCGUGAGCCGGAGCGAAUCUCAACAAAGCUGAUCGUAGUUCGGAUUGCAGGCUGCAAACCCGCCUGCAUGAAGCUGGAGUUGCUAGUAACCGCGCGUCAGCCAUAGUGCGGUGAAUACGUACCCGGGGCUUGUACACACCGCCCGUCACGUCAUGGGAGUCGGUU